UUCCGCGCAUGUUCGCGUGGAGGUGCCGGUUACGCAAGGAGGCCAAGACAUGGCCGCAGGAACAGUUAAAUGGUUCAACGCCCAGAAGGGCUUUGGAUUUAUCCAGCCUGAUGAUGGAAGCGCUGACGCUUUCGUUCACAUCUCUGCAGUCGAGCAGGCUGGCCAGCAGACACUGAACGAGGGACAGGCUGUGACCUACGACCUCGAACGGGGCCGCAACGGCAAGUCUUCUGCAGUCAAUCUGAAGAUUGGCUGAUAAUCUCGGCAGGAACUCCGGUUCCUGCCGUUUUU
rnacentral:sRNA from 1 species